rnacentral:rRNA from 1 species
GCAAGUCGAACGGUAACGCGGAGAGCUUGCUCUCUGGCGACGAGUGGCGGACGGGUGAGUAAUACUUAGGAAUCUGCCCAGUAGUGGGGGACAACAUUCGGAAACGGAUGCUAAUACCGCAUACGCACUACGGUGGAAAGUGGGGGACCUUCGGGCCUCACGCUAUUGGAUGAGCCUAAGUCGGAUUAGCUUGUUGGUAGGGUAAUGGCCUACCAAGGCGACGAUCCGUAGCUGGUCUGAGAGGACGAUCAGCCACACUGGGACUGAGACACGGCCCAGACUCCUACGGGAGGCAGCAGUGGGGAAUAUUGGACAAUGGGCGCAAGCCUGAUCCAGCAAUGCCGCGUGUGUGAAGAAGGCCUGCGGGUUGUAAAGCACUUUCAGUAGAGAAGAAAAGCUUAGGGUUAAUAACCCUGAGUCUUGACGUAACCUACAGAAGAAGCACCGGCUAACUCCGUGCCAGCAGCCGCGGUAAUACGGAGGGUGCGAGCGUUAAUCGGAAUUACUGGGCGUAAAGCGCGCGUAGGCGGCUUUGUAAGUCGGAUGUGAAAGCCCUGGGCUUAACCUGGGAAUUGCAUUCGAUACUGCAGAACUAGAGUAUGGUAGAGGGAAGUGGAAUUCCGGGUGUAGCGGUGAAAUGCGUAGAUAUCCGGAGGAACGCCAGUGGCGAAGGCGACUUCCUGGGCCAAUACUGACGCUGAGGUGCGAAAGCGUGGGGAGCA